CAGAGUAGGGAUCUGUGCGUCAAGUGCCGGUGGAACGGGGAGUUGUCCACCGGACGAAAGAGGUUUUGCCCUCUGCGGUACCGGUCCCGCAUCCCGCUGU
rnacentral:ncRNA from 1 species